UCCUGGUCACUCACCUCAGCCAAAGUACCUGGUCUCAUCUGCUCUCAGAAGCUAAGCAAGAUUAGGCCAGGUUAGUACUUGGAUUAUAGAGCACCUGGGAAUACUGGGUACUUUAGGCU
rnacentral:rRNA from 1 species